AUAGAUGUGUGUGUGGGUGUGAGAGUGGGACUUAAGUCCACCAACUCAUCCUCUUUUACUAGAUAUAUAUGAAUUGAAUUGGUAUUCAGAGAGAAUACAUGUUCGUAGACCCCAUUGUCGAAUAGCUGAGGCCAUCGGCUGCAUAGUGCUUUUGACAGAUGGAACAUAACACUGAUAUUCAUGGUAUGACAAGUUAGCUUCUUUGACACAUAACAUUCACCGAAAUAAGCAUGUAUGGCAAUGGCAUGAUCAAACAACAAAAAGGUUUCUCCGUCCAAUUUUGCUUAAUA